rnacentral:rRNA from 1 species
UGGGGAAUCUUAGACAAUGGGGGCAACCCUGAUCUAGCCAUGCCGCGUGAGUGAUGAAGGCCUUAGGGUUGUAAAGCUCUUUCAGCUGGGAAGAUAAUGACGGUACCAGCAGAAGAAGCCCCGGCUAACUCCGUGCCAGCAGCCGCGGUAAUACGGAGGGGGCUAGCGUUGUUCGGAAUUACUGGGCGUAAAGCGCACGUAGGCGGACUGGAAAGUUGGGGGUGAAAUCCCGGGGCUCAACCUCGGAACUGCCUUCAAAACUAUCAGACUGGAGUUCGAGAGAGGUGAGUGGAAUUCCGAGUGUAGAGGUGAAAUUCGUAGAUAUUCGGAGGAACACCAGUGGCGAAGGCGGCUCACUGGCUCGAUACUGACGCUGAGGUGCGAAAGCGUGGGGAGCAAACA